rnacentral:rRNA from 1 species
GAACGGGUGAGUACACGUGGGUGAUCUGCCCUGCACUUUGGGAUAAGCCUGGGAAACUGGGUCUAAUACCGAAUAGGACCACGCGCUUCAUGGUGUGUGGUGGAAAGCUUUUGCGGUGUGGGAUGGGNNNNNGGCCUAUCAGCUUGUUGGUGGGGUAAUGGCCUACCAAGGCGACGACGGGUAGCCGGCCUGAGAGGGUGACCGGCCACACUGGGACUGAGAUACGGCCCAGACUCCUACGGGAGGCAGCAGUGGGGAAUAUUGCACAAUGGGCGCAAGCCUGAUGCAGCGACGCCGCGUGAGGGAUGACGGCCUUCGGGUUGUAAACCUCUUUCAAUAGGGACGAAGCGCAAGUGACGGUACCUAUAGAAGAAGCACCGGCCAACUACGUGCCAGCAGCCGCGGUAAUACGUAGGGUGCGAGCGUUGUCCGGAAUUACUGGGCGUAAAGAGCUCGUAGGUGGUUUGUCGCGUUGUUCGUGAAAACCCACAGCUUAACUGUGGGCGUGCGGGCGAUACGGGCAGACUAGAGUACUGCAGGGGAGACUGGAAUUCCUGGUGU